rnacentral:rRNA from 1 species
GAUGAACGCUGGCGGCGUGCCUAAUACAUGCAAGUCGAGCGAACAGACGAGGAGCUUGCUCCUCUGACGUUAGCGGCGGACGGGUGAGUAACACGUGGAUAACCUACCUAUAAGACUGGGAUAACUUCGGGAAACCGGAGCUAAUACCGGAUAAUAUAUUGAACCGCAUGGUUCAAUAGUGAAAGACGGUUUUGCUGUCACUUAUAGAUGGAUCCGCGCCCCAUUAGCUAGUUGGUAAGGUAACGGCUUACCAAGGCAACGAUGCAUAGCCGACCUGAGAGGGUGAUCGGCCACGAUGAAACUGCGACACGGUCCAGACUCCUACGGGAGGCAGCAGUAGGGAAUCUUCCGCAAUAGGCGAAAGCCUGACGGAGCAACGCCGCGUGAGUGAUGAAGGUCUUCGGAUCAUAAAACGCUGUUAUUAGGGAAGAACAAAUGUGUAAGUAACUAUGCACGUCUUGACGGUACCUAAUCAGAAAGCCACGGCUAACUACGUG